rnacentral:lncRNA from 1 species
ACACUUCUUUGACUUCUUCAAGACAACCUCUCCAUCCUCAUCAAUCUCACUACUCACUAGAUCUAAGGAUUCUAAGUAAUCUGUUGCACUCCCAACCCCACUAGACUCACCUACUAUGGUUGUUUUAACAUAUGCCCUUCUUUCAUUAAUUUCUAAAAUAAGGUCAUCGAAAACUACCUCAAUUGGGAUGUCACGUUGCCUAACAUCUCUAUCUUCUACAUUAUCCGUAAAACUUCUAAAGAGAUUGUUAAUCUCCUGCAACUCCUCAUCAUCUUUGUCACUAGCCUACUCAACAUUUUCUAAUGGAUCAUCAUCACUACCUUCAGCUUCUUCAACCCCCUUGCACUCUCUAAGAAAUUCCUCACGUCCCUCACAAUUUGGAUCUACACCCUCGCUAUUCUCAUUAAUGUUGUUAUACGCUAAGGAUCACAAACCCGAAACCCAAAUAAGAUCUGGGUCAUCUACCCGCAACUCGGAUAGACUCUGCCAGAGGAACGUGAGCGAGGCAUGUAGCAAGAGGUCAACAGGAGGAGCUCGCAACUCAUUUCCAUUGAAGGGGACAAUUCAGUAUUUAUACAUGUUAUCAUUGUUCAUAACUUGACUCCACUGUUCAUGAUUUGACUCCACUAUUCAUGGGACUGACAUUUUAAGCGAGCCUCGGGCAUAUUGGACACAUGUACUCCUUGUGUAUGCACGGGCUGAAACCGCAAACUCCCUUUAGCGUGUGCAAGCUGAUGCUGCAAGCUCCCCCUGCUGACCUCUCGCUUAUUCACACAUCUACAUGUGAUUAAAAGAGUUAUUAUCCCAAACACAGAACUAAACCAACAUCUAAACUACUCCUUGGUGUUAAAUAAUACAAAUUUUUAACACCCCUGCACCGUGACUCUAUAACCAACUCACACAGAUCUCCAUGUCACAAAUAAUCAGGGAUACAUCCCACACUUCAACAACCCCACCUAUAUAAUCUACCUUAGGGUUAUCAACAAAUGUAUCACCUAAAUGCAUGAGUUUUGUGAAGGCCAUCUCAAACUGCACAAUCCAUUACAAGCAUCAUCCACAACAUUUUAUCAGAAUAAAAUAUUUUAAUAAUUAAAUUAACACACCGGUAUUCAUAAACAAAUAGAUUCAUAUUUUAACAAUUAAAUAAACACAUAAACACACCAAAAGAAAAUAUUUUAACAAUUAAAUUAAAUAUUACACAUGCAUCAUCCACAACAUUUGAUUAGAAGUCCAUUAUUUUUUUGCAUAAGUAGCAGAUUUUAUAAAUUAAAGGGGCCUAAUUUGUCUAUAUCCCUAUGUACACUUACAAACCCACUAUACUCUUUUUUCAAUAACCUUGAACAGACAAAACCACUGUAAAAAAGAAGGAACAAAUUAGGUUUUUUACCAAAAUAAUACGAAACUUGAUCGCAUAUCCAUAACGAAAAUAGGGUCUUACCAUAAUAUAAGGAAAGCAGGGUUUCACUUCAGUAAGGUUUUCUCGAAAUAUGAAUAUGUAUUUCACUUGAAGGUGGGUUUUUAGCAACUUGAAAGUACGGUUCAGUGGUGAACUGAUCAAAUGUUCGAUAGAUGGAAAUAUAGUUCGACCAAAAUACGAGAUUUUUCAAUAAUCAAAACACUGAAAGAUCAAUAAAGGUGGGAUAUUUCGAAAUGAAUAACAUGCAAAAUGGGUUCUUUUUUCAUUGGAACAUUUUUCCUAAUGCAACAGUAGUGAAUCUUAGUUAUCUGGUGUUAGAUUGGUUGGAAAAAAAAUCAAGAGCAUGAGAAGGAAUGGGAAUGACAAUGGAUUUCAGAUUGAAGGAAAAAGGGGAAAGGGAAUGGUUAGGGAUUACAGAUCAAAGGUUAUGAAACUUGAUUUAAUUUUUUUGUGUUUUGUUUAUCA